GAUGAACGCUGGCGGCGUGCCUAAUACAUGCAAGUCGAGCGAACGGACGAGAAGCUUGCUUCUCUGAUGUUAGCGGCGGACGGGUGAGUAACACGUGGAUAACCUACCUAUAAGACUGGGAUAACUUCGGGAAACCGGAGCUAAUACCGGAUAAUAUUUUGAACCGCAUGGUUCAAAAGUGAAAGACGGUCUUGCUGUCACUUAUAGAUGGAUCCGCGCUGCAUUAGCUAGUUGGUAAGGUAACGGCUUACCUAGGCAACGAGGCAUAGCCGACCUGAGAGGGUGAUCGGCCACACUGGAACUGAGACACGGUCCAGACUCCUACGGGAGGCAGCAGUAGGGAAUCUUCCGCAAUGGGCGAAAGCCUGACGGUGCAACGCCGCGUGAGUGAUGAAGGUCUUCGGAUCGUAAAACUCUGUUAUUAGGGAAGAACAUAUGUGUAAGUAACUGUGCACAUCUUGACGGUACCUAAUCAGAAAGCCACGGCUAACUACGUG
rnacentral:rRNA from 1 species